rnacentral:rRNA from 1 species
UACGUAGGGGGCAAGCGUUGUCCGGAUUUAUUGGGCGUAAAGAGCUCGUAGGCGGUUCCGUAAGUCGGGUGUGAAAAAUCUGGGCUCAACCCAGUGGAGCACCCGAUGCUGCGGUGACUGGAGUCCGGUAGGGGAGUGUGGAAUUCCUGGUGUAGCGGUGAAAUGCGCAGAUAUCAGGAGGAACACCGACGGCGAAGGCGGUUCUCUGGGCAUGUCCUGACGCUGAGGAGCGAAAGUGUGGGGAGCGAACAGG